rnacentral:rRNA from 1 species
UACGGGGGGGGCAAGCGUUGUUCGGAAUUACUGGGCGUAAAGGGCGCGUAGGCGGCCUGCUCAGUCGGACGUGAAAUCCCCCGGCUCAACCGGGGAACUGCGUCCGAUACUGGUGGGCUCGAAUCCGGGAGAGGGAUGUGGAAUUCCAGGUGUAGCGGUGAAAUGCGUAGAUAUCUGGAGGAACACCGGUGGCGAAGGCGGCAUCCUGGACCGGUAUUGACGCUGAGGCGCGAAAGCCAGGGGAGCAAACGGG